CACAAGGGGUGAAGCCUGCGGUUCAAUUGGAGUCAACGCCUGAAACCUUACCCGGAGAGACAGCAGAAUGAAGGUCAAGCUGAAGACUUUACCAGACAAGCUGAGAGGUGGUGCAUGGCCGUCGCCAGCUCGUGCCGUGAGAUGUCCUGUUAAGUCAGGUAACGAGCGAGAUCCCUGCCUCUAGUUGCCACUAUUACACCCUGGUGUAGUAGGGCGAAUUAGGGGGACCGCCGCAGUUAAUGCGGAGGAAGGAAGGGGCCACGGCAGGUCAGUAUGCCCCGAAACUCUGGGGCCACACGCGGGCUGCAAUGGUAGCGACAAUGAGUUCCAAAAUCGAAAGAUAGAGGUAAUCCCUAAACGCUACCACAGUUGUGAUUGAGGGCUGCAACUCGCCCUCAUGAACAUGGAAUCCCUAGUAACCGCGUGUCAUUAUCGCGCAGUGAAUACGUCCCUGCUCCUUGCACACACCGCCCGUCGUUUCAUUGAAGUUUGCCUUUAGCGAGGUGAUGUCUAAUUGGCAUUAUCGAACUUGGGGUAAGUGACAAGGGAAAAGUCGUAACAAGGUGACCGUAGGGGAACCUGCGGUCGGAUCACCUCCUU
rnacentral:rRNA from 1 species